rnacentral:rRNA from 1 species
AUUGAACGCUGGCGGCAGGCCUAACACAUGCAAGUCGAGCGGAUGAAGGGAGCUUGCUCCUGUAUUCAGCGGCGGACGGGUGAGUAAUGCCUAGGAAUCUGCCUGGUAGUUGGGGAUAGCGUCCGGAAACGGGCGCUAAUACCGCAUACGUCCAGAGGGAGAAAGUGGGGGAUCUUCGGACCUCACGCUAUCAGAUGAGCCUAGGUCGGAUUAGCUAGUUGGUGGGGUAAAGGCCUACCAAGGCGACGAUCCGUAACUGGUCUGAGAGGAUGAUCAGUCACACUGGAACUGAGACACGGUCCAGACUCCUACGGGAGGCAGCAGUGGGGAAUAUUGGACAAUGGGCGAAAGCCUGAUCCAGCCAUGCCGCGUGUGUGAAGAAGGUCUUCGGAUUGUAAAGCACUUUAAGUUGGGAGGAAGGGCAGUAAGUUAAUACCUUGCUGUUUUGACGUUACCAAAAGAAUAAGCACCGGCUAACUUCGUG